UACUAGAGUAGCACUCGCAUAUCAAUAAGCGGAGGAAAAGAAACUAACAAGGAUUCCCCUAGUAACGGCGAGUGAAGCGGGAAGAGCUCAAAUUUGAAAUCUUAAAGGGUUUCCCUUUACGAAUUGUAGUUUAAAGAAGUGUUUUCUGUUGAGGUUUUGGUAAAAGUUCUUUGGAAUAGGACAUCAUAGAGGGUGAGGAAUCCCGUAUUUGACCUUUACUUUCAACUUUGUGAUACACUUUCAAAGAGUCGGAUUGUUUGGGAAUGCAGUCCAAAAUGGGUGGUAAAUUUCAUCUAAAGCUAAAUAUUGGCGAGAGACCGAUAGCGAACAAGUACCGUGAGGGAAAGAUGAAAAGAACUUUGAAAAGAGAGUUAAACAGUACGUGAAAUUGUCAAAAGGGAAGCGUUUGACACCAGUGUUGUUUUUCUGAAAAUCAAUUAAAGAACUGUUUAUGCUAAGUUGUUUAGACUUUAUCAGCUAUCUGCUUAGUCUUGAGCUUUUCUUUAAUGCACUUUUCAGUUAACAAGUCAACAUCAAUUUCUUUUGCUGUAAAAAAGCUUGAGGAAGGUGGCUUGAGAUUCGUCUUAAGUGUUUAUAGCCUCUUGCCUAUGCAGUCGGAGAGAUUGAGGUCUGCAGCGUAGAUCCUUCGGGGCUAAAUGCAUUUGUGCUAAGUUAUAGCAUUUUAUAGACAACUUGUUGACUAUGAUUUGUCUUGUAGCUUACUCGCUUAUGUUAUUUUACCUACGCUUAGGAUGUUGAACUACUGAGACAUAGA
rnacentral:rRNA from 1 species